rnacentral:rRNA from 1 species
UGAAUACGAGAUGCUACGGCGUCGAAGCAGUGUAUGUCAGACUUCCAAGAAAAGCUCGCAAUGUCAUAAAUAAAGAAUGCCUGUACCAUAACCGACACAGGUGGGUAGGUAGAGUAUACUAAGGGGCGCGAGAUAACUCUCUCUAAGGAACUCGGCAAAAUAACUCCGUAACUUCGGGAGAAGGAGUGCCUUCUUUAAGAAGGUUGCAAUAACAAGAUCCAAGCAACUGUUUAUCAAAAACACAGGUCUCCGCUAAGUCGUAAGACGAUGUAUGGGGGCUGACGCCUGCCCAGUGCCAGAAGGUUAAAGAAGUUGGUUAGCUUUUGCGAAGCUGAUGACUGAAGCCCUGGUGAACGGCGGCCGUAACUAUAACGGUCCUAAGGUAGCGAAAUUCCUUGUCGGGUAAGUUCCGACCCGCACGAAAGGCGUAAUGAUUUGGAUACUGUCUCGGAGAGGGACUCGGUGAAAUAGACUUGUCUGUGAAGAUGCGGACUACCUGCACCGGGACAGAAAGACCCUAUGAAGCUUUACUGUAACUUGAAAUUGAAAUUGGACUUUAUUUGCGCAGUAUAGGUGGAAGGCGUUGAAAGUAAUCUUGCGGGAUUAGUGGAGCCAUCAGUGAGAUACCACUCCUAUAAUGUUAGAUUUCUAACUUUGGAUCAUGAUCUGGUCAAAGAACAGUUUCAGGCGGGCAGUUUGACUGGGGCGGUCGCCUCCCAAAUGGUAACGGAGGCGUACAAAGGUUUCCUCUGAACGGGUAGAAAUCGUAUCUAGAGUGUAAAGGCAUAAGGAAGCUUGACUGUGAGACCUACAAGUCGAGCAGGGACGAAAGUCGGUCUUAGUGAUCUGACGGUGCUGAGUGGAAAGGCCGUCACUCAACGGAUAAAAGUUACUCUAGGAUAACAGGCUGAUCUCCCCCAAGAGUUCACAUCGACGGGGAGGUUUGGCACCUCGAUGUCGGCUCAUCGCAUCCUGGGGCGGUAGUACGUCCCAAGGGUUGGGCUGUUCGCCCAUGAAAGCGGUACGCGAGCUGGGUUCAGAACGUCGUGAGACAGUUCGGUCCAUAUCCGGUGUAGGCGUUAGAAUAUUGAGAGGAGCCUUCUUUAGUACGAGAGGACCGAGAAGGACAUACCUCUGGUGUACCAGUUAUCGUGCCAACGGUAAACGCUGGGUAGCUAUGUAUGGAGAGGAUAACCGCUGAAAGCAUCUAAGUGGGAAGCCCACCUCAAGAUGAGUAUUCCC